rnacentral:lncRNA from 13 species
CAAAACUCCUUGUCUGCGGAGCAAACACCUACUUACCUUUCAUGAUCCAGUUCAAGCAUGACAAGGCUUUUCUGAUUCCCCUCCCAUAGAUUUAGCUCAGCUCCUCCAUGUCCUCCCUGUAUUUUGUUCACACUCCUCUAACCUGUAACUCCUUAUGGCUCUUAUUGCUUUUUUUUGUUUGUUUGGGAUGAGCACUUUCAUUCAUUUAUUUAUUUGGUUAACACUGUCAGUUAAUACAGUUUAAGUGAGGCAAACCACUCUUCCUGCCUGGGGUGGCAGGGGAGAUGACUGGUCCAUUGGCAAUACCAUGUCCUUGACCAGCGAUUGGUUCAGAAAAGGAUACACAUAAUAACCCUGAUGAGUCAAGUCUGAUAUGUUUGCUGGAACGAUUAGAAACGGGAUGUUCCCCUUUCCAUGGUGUUGCCAGGGUGGUGGAAUGGAAGUCUGGAGUGGUUGGAGCUGAUUUUGCCACCAAAGAACAAAAAUAAAAACCAACAUUAAAAAAAAGCAUAAUUUGUGAUGGAGAGAGACAGAAUUCAGUUGGAUGUUUGAAUAUCUGAAUCUAGAAAUGCCCAAGACAAUGGAACUUUUCAAAGGUCCUACUUUCAGAAAAUAUAAAGAAAGCAAGGAAGGCAUGAGGAACAAAUGGAAAGGAUGAUAGAUUAGAACUUUUAACCGAAGCAAGCAGACAGAUUUGAAAUGCCAACGUGAACUGUGAGACAGACCUAGAAUGGGUUACGCGACUGCAACCAACGUAGAAAGACUGCACCAGCAGAAAUGGGGAAGGCUCCCACCAGAUUUCUUCAUGAACUCAAUGUGUGCUUCCUGUAGUUGACCCAUAGGUGUGGGGUGGUGGUGGUGGGGUCAAUCUUAAGCAUCAGAAAGAGUGUAAAAUAUCUCAUGUUAAUUUUUAUAUUGGUUACUCAUUUAAAUGACAGUUUUGUAUAUCUUGAGUUAAAUAAAAUGCAUUAUUAAAAUUAAUUUCA